AUGCCAUGGUGGGGAAACUUCUGAAAUAACUCCUUAAACCACUUUCAUGCCUCAUAUAAAGAUUCUUUAUCAAGUUGCUGAAAUGAAGUGAUUUCAUUGCAGAGCUU
rfam:Gossypium hirsutum cultivar TM-1 chromosome 16, whole genome shotgun sequence